AAAAAAGAUUAAAUGAAUCAGAGUAGCUCCAUGCAGCCUCCCACUUUUAAUCUUUUUGAAGAAUGUGAACAGUACCAUUCACUGGUAAAAAAUGUAACCAAGAGAGUUCUGCAGUGUUGUUGAUUUCUGCUGGAUAUUCAUAGUAGGAAUUAUACUUGUAAAUGUUGUAUGCAUGUGAAAAGUCUUCAUUUGAAAGUUUGCUAAGCAACAAAUCCUUCAAAUGGAACAGGUUGCAACUCUGCUCUGCCUAUAAAGUACAGAUGCAUGGCCUGUCUCUGACUGGAUGCAUGCCAGAUUGUCCUUUGGGAUAUAGCCCAGUGAGCAGGAGAAAUGGGUUUGAACUUGGCAAAAUGGCAUUAGGCAUAAAGGAAGAAACUGGAGAGCUGCUUCAUCAGUGUCAAUCCAGACUGUGGUUGGUCUCAUAA
rnacentral:lncRNA from 1 species